CACUGAAACACCAUUUCUUGUAUGAUCAUCGAAGUUAAACAGCAUCGAGCCUGGUCAGUGCCUAGAUGGGUGAUCACUUGGGAAUACCAGAUGCUGUAA